ensembl:lncRNA
GAUGAAUCAGGACUCUGAAGCCAGGCCAUCUGGCUCCAGGCUCUGUGCUGUUAGCCCCGAGAUAAGCCCGCCUUUAUUGUGAAAGAUAAUGCUUGUACAACAUGGCGAGUGGUUGAUCAGCACUUGCUCUCAUUGUCUCUCUAGCCAGAGUGUGGUUUGGCCACCACACAGGCUGGAGUCUGCUUUGUCUAUAGAGGAAGCCAGAACUCAUCAACAGACACAGCCUGGGCCUCUACAGGCUCACUCUUUUCCUGCCUGUUUCUUUUAGCCUACAUCCCACAGGAGAUGUAGGCUAAAGGGAACUUGUCACUACAAGCACAGGCAGUGGGUCUCAGAAUUGUCUUGCAUGGUCGAGGUUAUGCUGCUAUGAGGGAGGCCCUGGGGGAUGAGACACCAUGUGGAAGAGAGAGGUCACAGGGAGACGAUCCAAGGUGCCCCAGCCCACACCAAGGCCUCACAGGUGUGAAAGAGGAUUUCCUGGACCUCCUAGACCAGCCCUCCACCAGCUGGAUGCAGCUGGACAGGCAUUCCCAGGCAAGAUUGCAUGGAGCCCAGCCAACCCACAGAAUCAUGGGAUAUCUUUUCAUUUCAAGCCUCUGAGUUUUCCAGGGGGCUGUUCUACAGCAACAGUGAAGGAACAAAGGCCAAGCCCUCUUGCAGUUCCAUGUCUUUCAAUCUGCUCUCUCCUCAGCCUUCUGGCCUUUCUCUCACUGGAACACUCCCGCUUGUUCUUCAAGAUCCAGCUCACCUCGUCUUUGUCACAGAUGGGAAGAUACAGAACAGACACACAAUCUGCCAGAAGGCAUAAGUAUCUCUAGGACAAGGUUCAGUUGCUUAUGAGUGAAACCCCAAAGAAUAAUGCUGUAAAAAGAGAGAAGGUUAGGGGAAUUCUCUGGUGGUCCAGUGGCUAAGACUUCAUGCUACCAUCGCAGAGGGCCCCGGUUCAUUCCCUGGUCAGGGAACUGGAUCCCACAUGCCACAAGACCGGUGCAGCUAAAUAAAUUUUAAAAAUAUACAAAAAAGAGCCAGGAUGUCCAAACCCUGAGUCUGCUAAAAGAAAGAAGGUUAUUUCUCACAUAAGAGACUUGUAGUGGUAGGUGGCACCAGGCUGGAACGAGACUCUGUUGCCAGGUGCCCAGGCUCCUUCUCUAUUUUCACUGCCAUCUUCAGCAUUUAGCUUCCACUCAGUUCAGAAAGGUUUCCUGAGCAACUGCUGCCUGAACUGCUCCUGGACCAGUGGGAAGAAGGGUGAGAAGAGGAUCAGCCACAUCUCCUCCCUGGAAGAUGACUUCUACUCGUACCUUAGUAUGCCAAGCGUUAGUAUGCCAGCUCUAAAGACAGCUAAAAGCUAAAAAUUCUAUCUAGCCAAGUGUGCAGCUGAAAAUGAGUUUACUAUCAGGAGAGAAGGGAAGAUAGAUGUAGGAAAAGUAGCAGUCUCAACUCAGGGUAAAUUAGAACCCCCUGGAAGGCAACUGAGCACUACCACUAACCCACAUGUCAAUUACCUCCAUCCCCUGCUACUUGAAACAUGGUUCUCAGACCAGCAUCAUCAGCAUCAACCAGAAGCUUGUUAAAAAUGCAAGAUCUUGGGCCACCUGCUAAUGAUUCGUAAUUGAAUUA